rnacentral:rRNA from 1 species
GACGAACGCUGGCGGCGUGCCUAAUACAUGCAAGUCGAACGAGAGCGACCGGUGCUUGCACUGGUCAAUCUAGUGGCGAACGGGUGAGUAACGCGUGGGUAACCUGCCCAUCAGAGGGGGAUAACAUCCGGAAACGGAUGCUAAAACCGCAUAGGUCUUCGAGCCGCAUGGCUUGAAGAGGAAAAGAGGCGCAAGCUUCUGCUGAUGGAUGGACCCGCGGUGCAUUAGCUAGUUGGUGAGGUAACGGCUCACCAAGGCCGUGAUGCAUAGCCGACCUGAGAGGGUGAUCGGCCACAUUGGGACUGAGACACGGCCCAAACUCCUACGGGAGGCAGCAGUAGGGAAUCUUCCGCAAUGGACGCAAGUCUGACGGAGCAACGCCGCGUGAGUGAAGAAGGUUUUCGGAUCGUAAAACUCUGUUGUUAGAGAAGAACAAGUGCUAGAGUAACUGUUAGCGCCUUGACGGUAGCUAACCAGAAAGCCACGGCUAACUACGUG